rnacentral:rRNA from 1 species
UGGGGAAUUUGGACAAUGGGCGAAGCCUGAUCCAGCAAUGCCGCGUGUGUGAAGAAGGCCUUCGGGUUGUAAAGCACUUUUGUCCGGAAAGAAAUCCUUGGCUCUAAUACAGUCGGGGGAUGACGGUACCGGAAGAAUAAGCACCGGCUAACUACGUGCCAGCAGCCGCGGUAAUACGUAGGGUGCAAGCGUUAAUCGGAAUUACUGGGCGUAAAGCGUGCGCAGGCGGUUUGCUAAGACCGAUGUGAAAUCCCCGGGCUCAACCUGGGAACUGCAUUGGUGACUGGCAGGCUAGAGUAUGGCAGAGGGGGGUAGAAUUCCACGUGUAGCAGUGAAAUGCGUAGAGAUGUGGAGGAAUACCGAUGGCGAAGGCAGCCCCCUGGGCCAAUACUGACGCUCAUGCACGAAAGCGUGGGGAGCAAACAGGAUUAGAUACCCUGGUAGUCCACGCCCUAAACGAUGUCAACUAGUUGUUGGGGAUUCAUUUCCUUAGUAACGUAGCUAACGUGUGAAGUUGACCGCCUGGGGAGUACGGUCGCAAGAUUAAAACUCAAAUGAAUUGACGGGGUCAUAGCUG